rnacentral:rRNA from 1 species
UACAGGGGGGGCAAGCGUUGUUCGGAAUUACUGGGCGUAAAGGGCUCGUAGGCGGCCAACUAAGUCCGACGUGAAAUCCCAAAGCUUAACUUUGGAACUGCGUCGGAUACUGGAUGGCUUGAAUUCGGGAGAGGGAUGCAAAAUUCCAGGUGUAGCGGUGAAAUGCGUAGAUAUCUGGAGGAAUACCGGUGGCGAAGGCGGCAUCCUGGACCGACAUUGACGCUGAGGAGCGAAAGCUAGGGGAGCAAACGGG